AACUUAUGCUGAGAACAUUUCCGUAGGAGAUCCUUGAACCUAUCCCAUGUCUCAAAAAGAGACUCUAAUUUCACUUACACAAAAGAGGAUAUUUUAAUCCUGAGCUU